GACGAACGCUGGCGGCGUGCUUAACACAUGCAAGUCGAACGGAAAGGCCCUGCUUUUGUGGGGUGCUCGAGUGGCGAACGGGUGAGUAACACGUGAGUAACCUGCCCUUGACUUUGGGAUAACUUCAGGAAACUGGGGCUAAUACCGGAUAGGAGCUCCUGCUGCAUGGUGGGGGUUGGAAAGUUUCGGCGGUUGGGGAUGGACUCGCGGCUUAUCAGCUUGUUGGUGGGGUAGUGGCUUACCAAGGCUUUGACGGGUAGCCGGCCUGAGAGGGUGACCGGCCACAUUGGGACUGAGCUACGGCCCAGACUCCUACGGGAGGCAGCAGUGGGGAAUAUUGCACAAUGGGCGGAAGCCUGAUGCAGCAACGCCGCGUGCGGGAUGACGGCCUUCGGGUUGUACACCGCUUUCGCCUGUGACGAAGCGUGAGUGACGGUAAUGGGUAAAGAAGCACCGGCUAACUACGUG
rnacentral:rRNA from 1 species